rnacentral:rRNA from 1 species
AACGGACGCUGGCGGCAGGCUUAACACAUGCAAGUCGAACGGAUCCUUCGGGAUUAGUGGCAGACGGGUGAGUAACGCGUGGGAACGUACCCUUUGCUACGGAAUAACUCAGGGAAACUUGAGCUAAUACCGUAUGUGCCCUACGGGGGAAAGAUUUAUCGGCAAAGGAUCGGCCCGCGUUGGAUUAGCUAGUUGGUGGGGUAAUGGCCUACCAAGGCGACGAUCCAUAGCUGGUCUGAGAGGAUGAUCAGCCACACUGGGACUGAGACACGGCCCAGACUCCUACGGGAGGCAGCAGUGGGGAAUAUUGGACAAUGGGCGCAAGCCUGAUCCAGCCAUGCCGCGUGAGUGAUGAAGGUCUUAGGAUUGUAAAGCUCUUUCACCGGUGAAGAUAAUGACGGUAGCCGGAGAAGAAGCCCCGGCUAACUUCGUG